rnacentral:rRNA from 1 species
CCUACGGGAGGCAGCAGUGAGGAAUAUUGGUCAAUGGGCGAGAGCCUGAACCAGCCAAGUCGCGUGAGGGAGUACUGCCCUAUGGGUUGUAAACCUCUUUUGUCGGGGAGCAAAAGCCGGACGUGUCCGUCUGUGAGAGUACCCUAAGAAAAAGCAUCGGCUAACUCCGUGCCAGCAGCCGCGGUAAUACGGAGGAUGCGAGCGUUAUCCGGAUUUAUUGGGUUAAAAGGGUGCGCAGGGGGUUUGUUAAGCCAGCGGUCAAAUCGUGGGGCUAAACCUCAAAUAGCCGUUGAAACUGGGGAUCUAGAGUGUGCGAGAGGUAUGCGGAAUGCGUGGUGUAGCGGUGAAAUGCAUAGAUAUCACGCAGAACCCCGAUUGCGAAGGCAGCUUACCGGUGCACAACUGACGCUCAGGCACGAAAGCGUGGGUAUCGAACAGGAUUAGAUACCCCUGUAGUC